rnacentral:rRNA from 1 species
GACGAACGCUGGCGGCGUGCCUAAUACAUGCAAGUCGAGCGAACAGACGCGGAGCUUGCCCCUCUGACGUAAGCGGCGGAUGGGAGAGUAACACGUGGAUAACCUCCCUAUAAGACUGGGAUAACACCGGGACACCGGCGCUAAUACCGGACGAUAUAUUUAACCGCAGGGUGCAAUAGUGAAAGACGGGUUUGCUGUCACCGAUAGAUGGAUCCGCGCCGCAGUAGCUAGUUGGUAAGGUCACGGCUUACCAAGGCAACGAUGCGUCGCCGACCUGAGAGGGUGAUCGGCCACACUGGAACUGAGACACGGUCCAGACUCCUACGGGAGGCAGCAGUAGGGAAUCUUCCGCAAUGGGCGAAAGCCUGACGGAGCAACGCCGCGUGAGUGAUGAAGGUCUUCGGAUCGUAAAACUCUGUUAUUAGGGAAGAACAAAUGUGUAAGUAACUAUGCACGUCUUGACGGUACCUAAUCAGAAAGCCACGGCUAACUACGUG